CCUACGGGUGGCAGCAGUGAGGAAUAUUGGUCAAUGGACGAGAGUCUGAACCAGCCAAGUAGCGUGAAGGAUGACUGCCCUACGGGUUGUAAACUUCUUUUAUAUGGGAAUAAAAUGUUCCACGUGUGGGAUUUUGUAUGUACCAUAUGAAUAAGGAACGGCUAACUCCGUGCCAGCAGCCGCGGUAAUACGGAGGAUCCGAGCGUUUUCCGGAUUUAUUGGGUUUAAAGGGAGCGUAGGUGGAUUGUUAAGUCAGUGGGUAAAGUUUGGGGCCCAACCGUAAAAUUGCAGUUGAAACUGGCAGUCUUGAGUACAGUAGAGGUGGGCGGAAUGCGUGGAGUAGCGGUGAAAUGCUUAGAUAUCACGAAGAACUCCGAUUGCGAAGGCAGUUCACUGGACUGCAACUGACACUGAGGCUCGAAAGUGUGGGUAUCAAACAGGAUUAGAUACCCUAGUAGUC
rnacentral:rRNA from 1 species